UACGUAGGGUGCGAGCGUUGUCCGGAAUUAUUGGGCGUAAAGAGCUUGUAGGCGGUUUGUCGCGUCUGCCGUGAAAAUCCGGGGCUCAACCCCGGACUUGCGGUGGGUACGGGCAGACUAGAGUGUGGUAGGGGAGACUGGAAUUCCUGGUGUAGCGGUGAAAUGCGCAGAUAUCAGGAGGAACACCGGUGGCGGAGGCGGGUCUCUGGGCCGAUACUGACGCUGAGGAGCGAAAGCGUGGGGAGCGAACAGG
rnacentral:rRNA from 1 species